rnacentral:misc_RNA from 1 species
UAACCUAUUAUUUAAACUGCUUGUGGCUUUAUUUAGUAUUUUGCGUCAUCUGUCCUUGUCCGUGUGUGUCUCUCAAAGCUUCGCCGGCGGCGACCGGAAACAGGAUACUCGCCGGGAAUCCAGGAUCGUUCAGACUAGGGAAAUUUGAGGAAGAAGAUGAAAGUUUAUGUGAAGACUUUGAAGGGUACUAACUUCGAGAUCGAAGUAAAACUUGAAGACACGGUUGCUGAUGUAAAGAAAAUCAUAGAGACGAUACAAGGUGUGGAUAUUUACCCUGCUGCACAACAGAUGCUGAUUCAUCAGGGGAAAGUUCU